CUGGUUUGAUGUAGUAAGCAUGUCAGCUUUUCGUGCUGAAGGUGAUCAAUGAUCAACCAGC
rnacentral:tRNA from 1 species